CUUGUUUUUUACUUUAAAAACCUGUUUCCAGAAGUUUCAGGUUUCUUUUUGCAAAGACAAGUCAGUUGUUACCAUUAGCCAUGUAGCUGAAAAUUCACAGCAUCCUCACUCUGGAAAUUUUAUCUUUUAUAAAAAGAACACUAUUUGUCUAUCAAGUUUGGGCAGCAAGCAUAAAAUUUACAAAGCUCAGUCUUUCACCACAAGCCUCUGGAGGAAGAGACCUCAGCUUUGCAACAUCUUGUACUUUGUGACAAAAUCUUUUGCCUGAGAUUUCAAUUACUUGGGUAGCAAAUGACAUUUUAAAGCGCCCUCCUCCCAAAAGUUGAGCUGUGCUUUUCCUUUGCCCAUCACACAGCUGUGGUUUGACACAAGAACACAGAGAAGGAAACGGAUUCACAUGGAAGCUGAAGGCCUGUGGGCUUAACUACACGUUAUUUGAUGAUUAUUUUAUUUUAUUGCCUUGUAGCCAUAGUCAAGAGACUUUUUCGAUCCUAGGUGGGCAGGUGGAGGUAUGGGGGAAGAGGCAAUUUCCAUCAGGAUCAUGGGGUUUAAAAAAAACCCUCAGCUGUGACCCCAAAGAAAAUUACACAAAUAGGCCACAGUUCAAUUAUUGGGGUGGGGGGAGCUCCCCUUAGCACCAAUGGAAGAAUUUCCCCCGCCGUCUCUAAAUGUAGUGUGAGGGGAAAUGGUGAAGGAAGGCUUAAGUCUCUCAUCUCUGCAUGUUGCGCUCCCGAUGAAAAUCUCCCUCCCAUCUAGGAUCUUUUUUUUUUAUCCCCUGACCUGGCUGCAAGCUACAUAAUUAACAUAACACAGGCAGGUCCUUCAGUGGUUGAUUCAUGAAUUUAUUCUUCGGUAGCCCAAAUGGUGCCCUCCAAAUGUUUAUAGACCAGAACCCCCCUUGUCCUCACCAGUAGCCAUGCUGGCUGGGGCUGAGCCCAGCAACAUCCAGAGAGCACUAUGUUGGCUAUCCCUCGAUUUACCUCUCUGCAAAUCCUCCACCGUUUUCCUGUUUCCCACCACCAACUUCCAUCAUUCCAUCAACAUAUAGAUCAUUCUACUAGAAUCAACAUCUUGCAUUAGCCUUUAAAAUGGCUGCUGAAAAUGGCCACUUGGGAAGCCCCCACACCCUGCACACCAGGAGCGAUCAGGAUUCUAUCUCUUAUAUGGCCUACCGCCCCCUUUUCAGGGAGAAAAAAAUACUCAAUGCCCCCCUGGGAAAUCUACCUUCUUUAAGUGGACAAACAGAAAGAUGCAGUGAGAAAUUUGUGUUCUUUUAUGUAUCUAUAUUUCUACCUACGUCCUACAACAUAGUAAAGAAAGAUGUUGUAAAUAAGUCACCAUUAAGCUUAAACUUAUAAAAAGGCAAACAAAGAGCCAGAGGAUUUGCUGCCCCUGCAAAGCACUGCCCCACCAACCUCACUUUGAUCUCAGCCAACCCCCACCUGCCCACCUUAUUACAACCAAUCAGAGGGGUAGGUCUGCCUGACAUUGGCUCUGGCUUCACCUACUGUUGGUCUCCUGUCCAUCCAAUAGACAGCAGCCACAACUGCUUCAAGGCUAGCACCACAUGCCAAAGGAUUGCUUAGGCCUGGGCUAGACAAACAGCCGAUCAUUUGCUGUAACUGUUCCUAGAGUCUACUACUUCAGACUACAGGGUCUGAAUGCUUCCAUAUUGGGUGGAUGAGGUCCUACACAAAGGAAGCUAGAUGUCAGAAGAGGCUAGGCUAGAAUCCUUAUGCCACAUAUGAAUUUUAUAGUUUGUUAUUAAUUUGAUUUCUUAGUUUUAUUUUCCAAAUUUGUAUACCACCUUUCAUCCAUAGAUCUCAGGGCAGUUCACAACAUAAAAUGACAAUAUAAAAACCACAAAAUACAUUUGAAAGAAUUGAGAUCAACAACAAACCAAAAAAUUGGUUGCUGUUGCUUAUUUGGGAAAUAUUCAGUUAUGUGAUUACCCACCUGCAGCUUGAAAUGGAGGUCCAGGAAUGUUUAUGCCACAUGAUCUGCUGUUUACAUGAACAGAACUUUAGGCAUUCUAAUCAAUAUGAAAUCAUUUUAAGUGAGCAAAAUCGAUCCUUCAUCUGCUAAGCAGAGUGCUCCCUGCUAUAGAUGGAGGCUCAUAUUCCAUUUAUGUCCUCCCAAGUCCUUGCAGACUUGUGUUUAUUGAACUGCCCUGCCUUUAAAGUACUCAGUACAAAGGGGGGAAAUUGUGUGGCGCUUUACAAAAACUAAAAUAUAUUGCUUAAUGAUAUCAUGGGAGCCUGUUAAGCCUGGCGCUAUGGUCUUAGAACUAGUGCAUCUGCCAUAGUACCCUGCUUUUUCAAAUACCGAUCUUCUCUUGUGUAGCCACUGGUAUUCUUGAUCACCCAUGUGCUAGUGCAAACCAGUUUAGGACUGGGCUGUUAGGUUGCCCCAUAAGCCAUUAUGUAUUAUGCUUUUGUCAGAAAGCAGCUGUUAACUGAAACACAUAUACUCCAAUAAUAUGCCUCUUUAUUCAGAAAUCAGGCCUCGUUCUCACAGUAAUAAAUUUGUUUAUAGAGACUCUACCACUGCAGUUCGGGUUCACAAAGUUGAAUGUUCCUCUUUCCCCCCACCCCAGGCAUAGGCAAACUCUGGCCCUCGAUGUUUGGGACUACAAUUCCCAUCAUCCUUGGCUAUCAGGAUCAGUGGUCAGGGAUGAUGGGAAUUGUAGUCCCAAACAUCUGGAGGGCCGGAGUUUGCCUAUGCCUGCCCCAUGCUCUGCUUAAUCCCCGCUUCACAUGGAAAAUUAUAUGUUAAUGAGAAAAGCCUGGGUGUUUUUUCUGAUAAACUGGUUUUCUGUAUAAAUGUUUUGACACCCAUAGAGGAACAUAAUGUGAACCCCCACCUAUGGUCUGAGGCUAAGGCACAGAUUUACAACAGCUGGUUGUGAGAAUUAGGCCAAUAUUCCACUAGAUUCAGUGGGAUUGACAUUUAAGUAAGCAAGCAGAAGACUUAAGUCUUAGGCAGCCUAUAGGAUUGGGCUUCAUGUUACAAAAAAAUUAAAAUAAAAUAGUAAGCUCUAACCCUAUGUGAAUUUACCAAUUGAAGCCAUUCGAUUUAAAAAGGGUAAUUGUUCUUUCUUUCUUUUUCCCAUAAAAGCUUACUGACGUUGUACAAUUUUGAGGCAGGUGCUCAGCGAGUCUUGUCAAUCUUGUCUCAGACGUGAUUGACACCUUGACGAGUCUGCCUGUAAUAUCCACAAGCAAAAGGAAGUGUGUCACGUUUUCAAACGUCCAGGCACCAGUGCAGAUGUCGGCAUGCCCCAUCCUGUAUGCUUCUCGUUACUUGUUGUCUGUUGGACUAUAAAAUUUCAGCAAUUUUGAAAACCCACCAGAAUGAAUAGCCAUUGACGAGAAAUCUCUCAGCAAAAUCUGAAAGCUAAAUGAAAAAAAACAUCUGCAUUCUAUUCAGGUUGUCACAGCCUUUUCAGUGGCGUUUGAAUAGUUUUCCAGUUGCUAACACUGGAGGCCUGGAACACCAUCAGAGUUACUAUAGGGUUUUUGAUGAGGAUGAUAAAAAAUGGGGAUGAUUUAAAAGAGACUCGCGAUGGUUUUGGUUUCAGUGACUUUGUCCAACUCACCACUGAAACAAAGGCCAAGCAUGUGCAACUUGCCCUUUCUUCCUUUCAUUCCUGCUUGAACUUACUUCCCUCCCUCUUUCUUUGUUGCCUGUCUCCCCUAGGACUAAAUUUAGACUGUGGAUUUGGAGCAUGGAGCAGGGGUGCAUUUAGGUCAGUGCUAUGCACUGGGUGCUGAGCCAAGGGCCUUUUCAAAGCCCGGUAAGUAAGGCACUGGGCUUUGGGAAGGAGGCGUGAGGGCUCUGAAAGGGCCCUAGACUCCUUCUGUCUCCUUCCCAAAGCCUAGUUAGUGCUUUCCCAGCAUUAGGAAGGAGAUGGGAGGGUUCUAAGACCCUGCCUGACCCUUCGUGCCUCCUUCCCAAAGCCUUGCUUUUCUGGCUUUGGGGUAGCAGUUCAAAUUUUGGUGCCAUAUUACCCAAGUCCAUCACAGUAGGGAGCUGCUGUUUGUUUAAAGCAAGGAAUAGGAACCUCAGGCCCAGGGGCCAAAUGCAGCCCUCCAUGCCUCACUCUCCCUAGGCCACACUUCCUCCCCAGCUACACCCUAAGUGCAUAAGAAGAGGAGCAGGCUGCUGGCUCAUUGAAUCCAGCAUCCUGUUCUCUCAGUGGCCAAUCAGAUGCCUGUGGUGUCAGGUGUGUGUGCAGCAGCCAGGCCCUGUGACCAAUAGGAUUUUGCAGGACUGGGGCCUUCCUAAGUUUGUUCUGAAGAGGCAAGGCGCGGCCACACAGGUGAGGCCAAUUGGUAACUCACAGCACCUGGUGGCAAGAGCUGGGAAGGGAUAUAAGGUCAGCAUUUUCCUUUGGCUCUUUGCCACAGCAACACGCUUUCUGCCUUACUGUGUUUGGCUUCUUGCUUCCUGAUCCUUGACUCCCUGCUUCUUGAUCUUCAGACCCUUGACUUCUUGACUCUUUGCUUCUUGAUCCUCGGACCCUUGGCUUCUUGACUCCUGGCUCUCUGACCCUCAGACUCUUGGCUUUCUGACUCCUGGCUUCUGGUCUCCCGCUCCUGCUCCCACCCCCCAUCUUGCCCCCAGUCCCAACGUCCCCAGCCGGGACUUCGAUUACCAGUGAACCAGACCGUGACAUGUGGGGAGCAAGAUGGACAUGAACACAAGAGCCCACCUACAACUCCCAGCCACUGGCAUUCAGAGGCAUAUCACUUCUGACAGUGGAGGACUUUUUUAGGGGGAGUGGUUAAACCCAAACAGAUGUGGAAAUGUGAACUGAAUUUAAUAGUGGAAAAAAUGAAAAAUGGAGAAGAACCAAGAUUGAGAGAUUUACCCUUCCCAAGAACAGAUUGCAGUUAUCAUGCCAUGUCUCGAAUCUUAAUCACCCUCUUGAAGAUUGGUGAUGGCCAAACCACUGGCAGAAAUCUCACCCAACCACUUCAUUAUGGGCAGUUUAUAUGAAUAUUGUAAUUUAGAGUUGGGGGAAACAUGGUCCACUGUGACAGCAGAAGGUCUGAAAGUUGGCCCUAUGAUUCUUUGGACUGUGCCUGUUGCCACUUCUUUGAUACUUCACAGUGAAGUCAGCCUCGCAUGCUAUUCUCAGCGGUAGAAAAUGAUUCUUAUUCUUGUCAUGAAAAGUCCAAGAGCGAUUCUGUUCGAACGACACACCUCCACAAAACUCCAGGACUGCUUCUGCAAAAUGCACAAGGCUGCCAAUACACAACUGCACCCUAUGCUGCCUUUGAAGUCAUCUGCCCAACAGCUCAGGUGCUUUAAGAGAGGACACUGAAGGCAUUUUUGGUGUUGCAUCGCUUGCUAUUAUUGCUAUGCAUGAACUGCCCAUCAGACCAGACUGGUGUCAACGUAAUUUGGUACUUUGUAAUAGAGCGCAAUAGGAGAGGAAAGGCUUCCAUUGGAAAAGUGUGGGCCAUCACACAAGAAGCUAUUUAGAGUUCAGUGUGUGAAAAAUUUAUAAGAGGUGAUUCACACAACACUUCAAUAUUACUACGUCAAGCCGUGGUCUAUGAAUCACUCUUUUAGCAGCGUAUUUCCUCUAGAGAGCCAUUUGAGAAAUGCCAGGGUGAGAUGCUUUUCAGAAGUGCAGAGCUCUGAGUGAGUAAUCUAUAUUUCAAUUCAAGCACAACUCUGUGUUUUUGUACAUUCCAUGUCUCCCAACAAAAUGCUAUCACACCCUGAGAACCCAUUGCAGUUUUCAUUUCAAUAUAUACCAUUAAGCGCAAGGAGUUUAGCCAUUGCAAUUAUGACAAAAUAAACAUCAAACAGAAUGCCUGGAAACAUCAGGUCUGAUGUUGAUGGCAAACUAAAGCCAUAGAAAGGUGUCUGAAAUAGUCCAGAGACUUGGGUAACAGGGAGGACAAAUUUAUAUGCCGUUUUUAAUAUAACUGCGCAAGCGCAAAGCUUCAGAAAAGGUACACUGCCUCUUUGAAAAUUAGUGUAGGAACUACAGGUAGUUCAUGUUAUUUUUAAAAUUGUAUAUAAAAGUGGAUGUACAAAAUUCAGCAGCCUGCAUUAUGAAAGGCUGCUGAUAAUGUUCUGAGCAAAUACUAUAUUACUGUGCACUUUGGUUUUGUAGAUCUACUCUUAGAUUGUAUUUGUUUUGCUCCACAAAAGGUGCCUGUGUAUAUAGUUCAUUUGUAUCGCUUUCUGCAGAGUCCCUGACAUAUAUAUAUAGUUAUGUUUAUUAUAAGAAUAAAUGCUGUGUACAGUAUGAAAUACAGAGGUUUUGCUACAGUCACUGAACCCUAUAAUGCCAUUAGGAAAAUAAAGGCUUGUUUUUUUAAAAGAAGAAAAAAGUUCUUAUUUAUAUAUGAGUUAUCGCCUAAUGAAUUGUGAUGCAGUAUUCCUUGUCUUUGCCUCUUCCACGACAAUGUUUACUCUUCGCUAUGAUUAAUUAGCAGGUAAUAAAGUCUAUUUUGUGUUUUGAA